rnacentral:misc_RNA from 1 species
AUUACAUAGCGGGUGGGACUGCGGCCCUCGGGGCCCCGUGACCUGCCAUGCCUGGCUUCGGUCGGGCUUUGGUUGCGCGGGAGCAAGCCCUGGCGGUGUAGGGUCUCCUGUGACCCUUUCACGCACCCCAUGUCUGAAUCCUUUAUUCUACGAGCACCUCUUGUUCUCCUUCGGCGGGGCAACCUGCCGUUGGAACCAUCAAAACUCCUUUUGCAUCUAAGCAUUACCAGUUCGGAUACAGACAAUCGUUA